rnacentral:rRNA from 1 species
AUGCCGAGGAAGCGCAAAGGAGAUGGUGAUGGGAUUGAUGAGGUUCCUUCGAAAAAGGCGAAGUGCCCUCCUCCGCGGAACAGAGCCUCAUCCAGUUCGCUUCUUUUAGCUUGCAAAGACAUGAAUGAUGACAGGAAGGUUGCCAUUGAUGAGAUGGACUUCACAAGCCUUCAGAAUAUCCAGUGUGACCAUCUCUUCAACAAUCUCAGUGUGUGGCUUGCUGAUCUGUACAAUCCCGAUUCCCGUGGGGUGGUCGUACCAGGGCGGGGCAGGCUUCCGGUUAAUGAGGAAUAUGUGCAUCGUGUUAUGGGCGUGCCGCGUGGAGGGGAGGAUGUCCCUUACAACCUCCCUACAGAAGCUGAUGUUGAGUUAGGGCUUGAGUUGUUUGGCGAACUUGGAUAUGCCCCUAAGAUGACUGAUCUUGUUGAUCUCAUAAAGGGUUCUGAAAAUGCUGAUGAUACUUUCAAGCGUAUGUGGCUUUUUCUUGCGGGGAAUACAAUCAUUGCCCCGACCACCUCCAACAAAGUGAGCCCUAGAUGGUAUGCUGUGCUGACGAAGAAGCUGAUAACUCUUGUCCUCAACAAGGAUGUUCAGGCUGACAAAGUUUCUUUCAGGAAACUACCGUUGAAGCCUGAGUUUGCAUGA